rnacentral:rRNA from 1 species
GAUGAACGCUGGCUACAGGCUUAACACAUGCAAGUCGAGGGGAAACGCCGGGGAAGCUUGCUUCCCCGGGCGUCGACCGGCGCACGGGUGAGUAACGCGUAUCCAACCUGCCUCUGACUGAGGGAUAACCCGUCGAAAGUCGGCCUAAUACCUCAUGGUAUCGUCUGCGGGCAUCCAACGACGAUUAAAGAUUUCAUCGGUCAGGGAUGGGGAUGCGUCUGAUUAGCUUGUUGGCGGGGUAACGGCCCACCAAGGCUACGAUCAGUAGGGGUUCUGAGAGGAAGGUCCCCCACAUUGGAACUGAGACACGGUCCAAACUCCUACGGGAGGCAGCAGUGAGGAAUAGUGGUCAAUGGGCGAGAGCCUGAACCAGCCAAGUAGCGUGCAGGAAGACGGCCCUAUGGGUUGUAAACUGCUUUUAUGCGGGGAUAAAGUGAGGGACGGGUCCCUCAUUGCAGGUACCGCAUGAAUAAGAACCGGCUAAUUCCGUG